AGCUUGUAGGCUCCACCUCAAGACCAAAAAUAUCCAUCCUUAACCAUAACAGGCCCUUUACCCCUAUAGAUUUAACUAAUACAAAUGGAAUAGUUGCAGUCACUCAUAUGCUUGGUGAGUGACCCGGCCUAUUCCACUCUCGAGAAACGUCAAAACCGAGAAUCUCACUAUUCGUAUUCGAGCAGUUUGAACUGAGCAAAAUAUCGCCAGGCUCUCAUGCUGAACAAGACAAACAGAUGGCACUUGGUAUGAAGACCAAGGUACACGUUUAACGGUGAGCAUAUAUUAUGAACACGGAGAAGAGUUUUAUGAAUUUUUCCGUUAAUAAAAUUUUCUUAUAAAAACCUAAUCUGUCCCCAAAGAAAAUUCUCUUUUUUCGUUCGGGCUCCAUCAAAGGAGUAGUAGUGCGCGCGUGUGUAGAAGUCGUUAAAAUGUUGAGGAAAAGUUAGUGCGGAUUAGUUGGUUAGUAAAGUUAUUACGCUAAAAUGUGUUAGUAAGAACAAAAACAAAACGCCCGUUUGUUAAAAUUGUUAAGAAACAUUCACGAAAAGCUAGUGUGAGUAGCAGAACAAAGAAAAAAGGCAAUUGUGAAGUUAAUAAUGUGACAAAAGG